AAACUACUCCCUCCGUCCGAAAACACUUGUCAUCAAAAUGGAUAAAAAGGGAUGCAUCUAGAACUAAAAUACGUUUAGAUACAUCUUUUUUCAUUCAUUUUGAUGACAAGUAUUUCCAAACGGAGAGAGUAUAAG
rfam:Triticum aestivum genome assembly, contig: Triticum_aestivum_CS42_TGACv1_scaffold_641506_T_4AL-0.297893_1AS-0.222513